GGCCAGACUCCUACGGGAGGCAGCAGUGGGGAAUAUUGGGCAAUGGGCGCAAGCCUGACCCAGCAACGCCGCGUGAAGGAAGAAGGCUUUCGGGUUGUAAACUUCUUUUGACAGGGAAGAGCAGAAGACGGUACCUGUCGAAUAAGCCAUGGCUAACUACGUGCCAGCAGCCGCGGUAAUACGUAGGUGGCAAGCGUUGUCCGGAUUUACUGGGUGUAAAGGGCGUGUAGCCGGGCUGACAAGUCAGAUGUGAAAUCCGCGGGCUUAACCCGCGAACUGCAUUUGAAACUAUAGGUCUUGAGUGCCGGAGAGGUAAUCGGAAUUCCUUGUGUAGCGGUGAAAUGCGUAGAUAUAAGGAGGAACACCAGUGGCGAAGGCGGCUUACUGGACGAUGACUGACGCUGAGGCUCGAAAGCGUGGGGAGCAAACAGGAUUAGAUACCCGAGUA
rnacentral:rRNA from 1 species